rnacentral:tRNA from 1 species
CUUCUUGUGGUGUAGUUGGCAUCGCGCUUGUCUAAUGAGUAGGAGUCGUGAGUUCGAGUCUCACCGAGAGGA